GCAAGCUGCAGAUGGCUGUGCGUAAUCACAUUACAUUACAGUAUAAACACUUCUAAAAAAAAGAAUUAUAAAUUCGAAAAAAUGAUGUAUUCAUGAAAUAAUGCCUGUAACACACUUUUAUUAUAUACUGAAAUAAAUGAAUAUAUAUUUAUUGGAAUUUUAAGUAAUAAAUAGUGUUCAGACGUUAUAUGAAUGUUCCCCUUUAUUGUCUGGCAUUGUGUGGUGGAGGGGGCAAUCAUACGGUGAUGCACAUAGCAUAAUCGCCAGUUGCCGUUUGCCAGCCAACCGAACAGCUCACUUCUCGUAAUGUGCGAUUUUUGCAAAGUGAUUUAUUGAUUUAUUGUGAUUUAUUACAAGUGUUGUCUCGUCUCGUGUCAUGAUCUGGACCCGGUAUCCUGGAAGCAAGGAGGAUUUUUGGACAUGAAGAUGAUUACGAACAAGUGCAGCUAUCUCUGGAGAGGUAAUGCACCUACUGAUAUCCCGUGAUAAGAACUUGGGAGAGAUUUAGUGAAAACCUGGAGAACGGCCACUUAGCUCACAAAUCUAAGCUGUUCACAUCAAGCUGAUAUUUGUGACAGCCAUUAUAGCUUUAAUCAUUUUCUCGAUUGAUCAAAGCACCACAGGCUGCAUCGUUCGUCACCUCUGCCUUUAAGCACUUUAUCACUUACUCCAAUAAGCCAACCAAAUAUCCUUAAUAAGUUCUUAUUGACUGUGUAUGACUGAUUAAUAUCCAUGUUUUGUAUUUAGCCAUACUUUUGAACCGGUACCUUACCUUAUCAAUUACAUGGUAAUAUAUUUUCUAAAAUCAUUUGAAAAGAGAUGAAAAUACGAAAUCAUAUUUCCAUCUAUUUACAUAUGAUUUCAUGUAACAGAAAUAUUACCGUGCAAUGCGGUACAUUAGUAAGUUGACAUUAAAAACACACAAU